GUUUAGCUGCGACGUUGGUGACUGCCAAUAUUGUUUUGUGAUCUACACUUGCAAAACAUUUGGGAAUCAAUACUGUGGGCGGCAGUAAACUGGUCUUUGAGCCAGAAACUUCUAAGUCUGCAGUUAGUAUUCCCCCCUAGUUUUUACUAGGUCAUAAACUGAGGUAAAACGGCGUCGCGGUUAGACU
rnacentral:other from 20 species